GACGAACGCUGGCGGCGUGCUUAACACAUGCAAGUCGAACGGAAAGGCCCUGCUUUUGUGGGGUGCUCGAGUGGCGAACGGGUGAGUAACACGUGAGUAACCUGCCCUUGACUUUGGGAUAACUUCAGGAAACUGGGGCUAAUACCGGAUAGGAGCUCCUGCUGCAUGGUGGGGGUUGGAAAGUUUCGGCGGUUGGGGAUGGACUCGCGGCUCAUCAGCUUGUUGGUGGGGUAGUGGCUUACCAAGGCUUUGACGGGUAGCCGGCCUGAGCGGGUGACCGGCCACAUUGGGACUGAGAUACGGCCCAGACUCCUACGGGAGGCAGCAGUGGGGAAUAUUGCACAAUGGGCGGAAGCCUGACGCAGCAACGCCGCGUGCGGGAUGACGGCCUUCGGGUUGUAAACCGCUUUCGCCUGUGACGAAGCGUGAGUGACGGUAAUGGGUAAAGAAGCACCGGCUAACUACGUG
rnacentral:rRNA from 1 species